CUUUUGGACACAGAUGGAGGGACACCAUUUGUUGCUAUGCACAGAUACGCUCCCAUCUCGUUUCGGCUAACUUUUGUCAGAGGCAGGACCUCUCCAUCGUACACUAAAACUGAUUUUGGCAGUUCAGAGCCGGAUGUCAAAGUAUAGUCCCCCAAACCAACACCCAGCAACAACAACAGAAUAAACCAAAGUCAUAACGUGAAAGGACCAUCCAUAUUGUAGGAAGUAGUAUAUCCAGCCAAAGUCCAGGUCAAAAUAUUAUGGCCAAUUUCCUCGCCAUCCUCACGUCUCCAGAUAAUUUUUGGCGCUGGGAAGCCAUCCGCCCGACAUGUCAUGUUGAUAUUUUGAUUCUCUCGAACUGCUACCGAUGAUGG